rnacentral:rRNA from 1 species
AAUGAACGCUGGCGGCAGGCCUAACACAUGCAAGUCGAACGGAUCCUUCGGGAUUAGUGGCGGACGGGUGAGUAACGCGUGGGAACAUACCCUUUGGUACGGAAUAGCCUCGGGAAACUGGGAAUAAUACCGUAUGUGGUCGAGAGACGAAAGAUUUAUCGCCAAAGGAUUGGCCCGCGUUGGAUUAGGUAGUUGGUGGGGUAAUGGCCUAUCAAGCCGACGAUCCAUAGCUGGUUUGAGAGGAUGAUCAGCCACACUGGGACUGAGACACGGCCCAGACUCCUACGGGAGGCAGCAGUGGGGAAUCUUAGACAAUGGGGGAAACCCUGAUCUAGCCAUGCCGCGUGAUCGAUGAAGGCCUUAGGGUUGUAAAGAUCUUUCAGGUGGGAAGAUAAUGACUGUACCACCAGAAGAAGCCCCGGCUAACUCCGUGCCAGCCGCCGCCGUAAGAC